AGAAUUCUGCCUUUUCUGACCCUGCUCUCCUGAUCUUUCUCCUACUUCUGUACUGUCUCAGCCUCCACAGACGGGCAGACUGGUCGGUAGGUCAAUCCAACACAGACUCAAAGUCUGCCUCUGCCCUCACCUCCUUUACUUGAGGAAUAGUCAUGUGCUGAUGACUUCCUUUGCCAAGCCACCUUAAUGUGCUGGCUUAAAGCACUGAUAGGAGGGACGCACUUUCUUUCAUUGAUAAUUAUCAUCCAUAAGGAAAGCCAUCUCAAGGUGUCUAUUUUUACUGCUGCUGUUGGUAAGAUUUUAGUUUGAGUUUCAGGGAUGAGACAGACUCAUUU
rnacentral:lncRNA from 1 species